rnacentral:rRNA from 1 species
AUUGAACGCUGGCGGCAGGCUUAACACAUGCAAGUCGCACGAGUGGCGGACGGGUGAGUAAUGUCUGGGAAACUGCCUGAUGGAGGGGGAUCACUACUGGAAACGGUAGCUACUACCGCAUACCAUCGGAUGUGCCCAGAUGGGAUUCGCUAGUAGGUGGGGUAACGGCUCACCUAGGCGACGAUCCCUAGCUGGUCUGAGAGGAUGACGGGCGAUACUGGAAGUGAGACAAGGUGCAUAGACCGAGGUUAGGCAGGAGGGGGAAAUAUGGGACAAUGGGCGCAAGCCGGAUGCAGCCUUGCCGCGUGUAUGAAGAAGGGUGUCGGGUUGUAAAGUACUUUCAGCGUGGAGGGGUUACCCGCAGAAGAAGCACCGGCUAACUCCGUGCCAGCAGCCGCGGUAAUUC